AUGGAGUGGCUUCGACAAGUCUAACUCGGAGAUAUUCCAGUUGGAGGUUCCGGCCACCAUGCCAGUUGUGAAAGAGCGGAGCGGGCUUGACAGCGUUGAGAAGUUCUUGCGAUGGACAAUGGGCACAAAGUGAGGCCAUCCUACGUGCUGCAUGUAUAAAUUUUAGCUUCCCACUGUUUAAAUUUAUACAAGUUUGUGUUCAAGACAAGACGUACAACUACUCUAUAAACACGAAAAUAAUUACAAAAAUAUGACAGAUCAAAGGUAAUUAGGAUACAAAUAUAACUUGGGAGGUUUGUACAUGUUGUCUUGCUUCAAAGAUCCAACCCAUAUAUGUAAAUUGACCAAAAGAUAAGAACUUUUUGAUGGGGCUACGAGGUGGGAGAAAGGAAACUACAUAUGGCUUAGGAAUAAGACGGAUAAAGUUGAUAAACGAAGCGUAUUGAAGGCCAACUAUCGGAAGGAAAAUGAGAUGCAAACCAUCAACAGGAAGUCUUCGUACUCUUAGAUAUGAAAAGCAUGCAUGUUGCAGUCAGAUCGGAUUAAUUGAUAUUUCAGUUGAGUAAAAGAAAAAAUCAAUUGAGCAACAAAUUAUGAAUUAUGGUUAAAUUGCAAAUCAAAUGAACCAGUAAAAAAUAGGGCCAAAAUUUCACAGCUCAAACUUAAAAUAUCAACUCUUUUUCUAGCCCAAAUCCCAUAAAAACUGGUCCAAACCCUUCAAAUUUACUAAAUCCAACCCUACCCCCAAAUGUAAAACAAAGGCAGCCCUUAAUGUGUCGGAGUGUACCCCUGAACCAAAACAAAAUGCAAUAGCUUUCUAAUUUCUUUGGCCUUCGCUGGUUUCUUUUAAACCUUUGAACUGUCUAAAUUUAUUGAUUUUUGAGAUUUGUUUUUAUCAUUGUCUUUGUUCACUCUUUAUUCGUUGCACCUUCAACCCUUUGAAUACAACAAGAUAAAACUAGAGAGUGUUCCGAAACUUUGAGUUUGAAGAUUAAAGAAAACAUUAAGAUUCAAGAUUAGAGAAAAAAGAACAGAAAAAAAGAAAUUACCAUAAAAAAAAAACAAGGCUUGAUUGGUUGUCAUCAAGAUUGUUGUAUAGCCCAAAUUAUGCCCGGCCCAAAACCAAAUAAAACAAUUACAAAACCCAAACAGCAGGCCCAACUUCCACAUCAAAUGACCCAAACAAUAAAAAACCUAAAGCCCACCUAGCCCAACAAACUAAACAUUUUCAGCAGCCAAAAAACCCUAGUCACCAAGUUUUCAGCCGCCACUCCCUUUAGCCUUGGCCAUCACGCGCGCCACCACCACCGUUCGGGGCACCAACCACCGGCCUUCCAUGCGCCUGACACUCAUCUGUCACCUGCAAAGAAAGAUUCGCACGCAAGCAGUAAAAACGAGAAAGAAAAACGACAAAAAAUAGGAGUAAAUAAUCUUGUAAAUGGCUUUAAAAGCCACAAUCUCAUAUUUGAACAGGGGGUUUUUUUGUUUUAUUUUUGGUAGACAAAAAAGAAAUCUGAAAUACAAAGAAAAAAAGGGUUGCAGAAUAUUAAUCAAAAAUUUUCAAAGCAAAGAGAGGUUAGAUUCUUGAUUGCAAGUCUGAACGGAGUUAGAAUCCGAAUGGACCACCUUCCGUCGGCCACCGUUUGCGGUGGCUACAUGGUGGCUUGGGUUUGUCUUCUUUGGGUUUGAAUGGAUGAAAGCGGCUAGGGUUAAUAUCAAAAAGGGGAAGGGUUGAUUGAUCUGUUAAAGAGGGUUUUAUAUGCUUGAGGAUUGGGGGGUAUUUUCCUAAUUAACCCUCCAUUUCCUUUGCAUAUUUCAUUUCAACCCUUUUGUUUUUUUUAAUUCGAUUUAAAUUUCAAUUAGCCUUUUAUUUUAUUUUAUUUUAAUUCAUUGGUUCAUUCAUUCAUUUAUUUGUUUGUAUAUGUUAUUCGUUUAUAUAUUUAUGUUAAUUCUUGUACUCAAUUGUUAAUUGUUCCUCCAUUCUUUUAUUUCAUUAUUAUCACCUUAUUA
rnacentral:lncRNA from 1 species